rnacentral:rRNA from 1 species
GCUCAGGAUGAACGCUAGCUACAGGCUUAACACAUGCAAGUCGAGGGGAAACGAUAGAGAAAGCUUGCUUUUUCUAGGCGUCGACCGGCGCACGGGUGAGUAACGCGUAUCCAACCUGCCCAUCACUUGGGGAUAACCUUGCGAAAGUAAGACUAAUACCCAAUGACGUCUCUAGAAGACAUCUGAAGGAGAUUAAAGAUUUAUCGGUGAUGGAUGGGGAUGCGUCUGAUUAGCUUGUUGGCGGGGUAACGGCCCACCAAGGCGACGAUCAGUAGGGGUUCUGAGAGGAAGGUCCCCCACAUUGGAACUGAGACACGGUCCAAACUCCUACGGGAGGCAGCAGUGAGGAAUAUUGGUCAAUGGACGAGAGUCUGAACCAGCCAAGUAGCGUGCAGGAUGACGGCCCUAUGGGUUGUAAACUGCUUUUAUAAGGGAAUAAAGUGAGUCUCGUGAGACUUUUUGCAUGUACCUUAUGAAUAAGGACCGGCUAAUUCCGUGCCAGCAGCCGCGGUAAUACGGAAGGUCCGGGCGUUAUCCGGAUUUAUUGGGUUUAAAGGGAGCGUAGGCCGGAGAUUAAGCGUGUUGUGAAAUGUAGACGCUCAACGUCUGCACUGCAGCGCGAACUGGUUUCCUUGAGUACGCACAAAGUGGGCGGAAUUCGUGGUGUAGCGGUGAAAUGCUUAGAUAUCACGAAGAACUCCGAUUGCGAAGGCAGCUCACUGGAGCGCAACUGACGCUGAAGCUCGAAAGUGCGGGUAUCGAACAGGAUUAGAUACCCUGGUAGUCCGCACGGUAAACGAUGGAUGCCCGCUGUUGGUCUGAAUAGGUCAGCGGCCAAGCGAAAGCAUUAAGCAUCCCACCUGGGGAGUACGCCGGCAACGGUGAAACUCAAAGGAAUUGACG